GCUAAACGCGAAGAACCUUACCAAGGCUUGACAUACACGAGAACAUCCCAGAAAUGGGGGACUCUUUGGACACUCGUGAACAGGUGGUGCAUGGUUGUCGUCAGCUCGUGUCGUGAGAUGUUGGGUUAAGUCCCGCAACGAGCGCAACCCUCGUUCUAUGUUGCCAGCACGUAAUGGUGGGAACUCAUGGGAUACUGCCGGGGUCAACUCGGAGGAAGGUGGGGAUGACGUCAAAUCAUCAUGCCCCUUAUGUCUUGGGCUUCACGCAUGCUACAAUGGCCGGUACAAAGGGCUGCAAUACCGUGAGGUGGAGCGAAUCCCAAAAAGCCGGUCCCAGUUCGGAUUGAGGUCUGCAACUCGACCUCAUGAAGCCGGAGUCGCUAGUAAUCGCAGAUCAGCAACGCUGCGGUGAAUACGUUCCCGGGUCUUGUACACACCG
rnacentral:rRNA from 1 species